rnacentral:rRNA from 1 species
GACAGAGGGUGCAAACGUUGCUCGGAAUUACUGGGCGUAAAGCGCGUGUAGGCGGAUCUUUAAGUCGGGCGUGAAAUCCCCGGGCUCAACCCGGGAACUGCACUCGAAACUGAAGACCUUGAGUAAUGGAGAGGAAAGCGGAAUUCCUGGUGUAGAGGUGAAAUUCGUAGAUAUCAGGAGGAACACCGGUGGCGAAGGCGGCUUUCUGGACAUUUACUGACGCUGAGACGCGAAAGCGUGGGGAGCAAACAGG